GAAAACUAGCUCAUCUGCUCUCCAAUCAAAUCCAGCCCCACAAGGAGGAAGGUCACCCCUUGGAAAAGUAGAAAGUAGAAGUGAACUCCUUGUGCUGAUAACAGACUCCUGAUAGAAGCUGUCAGAAGGAGGAAUGCCAAAGUUAGCUCUUUCUUAUAUAUCUUAUUAGUUUUCUUAACAGUUAUUGGAGCUGCUUCUCUGUGCUCCACAAACUUUUCUGACUCCAUAAGGUCACUGUCGGAAGCUCCUUUAUGAAUCUUUUGUCUUUCUAUUGACUUGGCUUCCCUUUCUGCAGCAGCCAGUAAAUCGGACUCUGAUGACCUGCCAGCUUUCUUUGUGACAACCCAUUCAUAAGAGCUGCCUAAUUGAAAAAGCCCAGAUACCAUUGCAUUGAAUUUGGUGACGGAC
rnacentral:lncRNA from 1 species